AGAAUUUAGCUCAUCUUUGCUAAAAAUAAGUAUGUCAUCAACAAUGCAUAAGUGGUUUAGUCACAUACCUUUGCACCUUUUAUGAAAAUCAAACCAUUAGCCUAGAAAAAUACUUCAUGUAAAUUACGAAUAGCAAAGGGAAAAUUGGGUCCCCUUCCCUCAACCCCCUUGCAUCCUUAAUACUUUCAUACACACCACCAUUCAGCGCAAUGCAAAAUUGACCCAUUUAUAAAUUUAUAAGGAAAAUUUAGAUUACUCAGCAUCUAUUCAAUAAAACCCACUAAAUAGAGUCAUAG
rnacentral:lncRNA from 1 species